AUUUAAAUAGCUUAAUUUCGAGAGCAUAGUAUUGAAGAUACUAAGGUAGUUAUAAACUUUUGAAUA
rnacentral:tRNA from 1 species